CUGUGUAACACGUGGCAUUGUUUCUCUUGCACCUUCUGCCAUGAUUGUGUGGCCUUCCCAGCCAUGUGGAACUGAAACCUACAGGUUGCAGAAGAAAAUGGCUGGUGGAAAUGCAGCAGGAAGAAUAACAUGGUUCUGAAACCAGCAUCCUUUCCUACUUGGAGCGUAGGGCUGAAACCAUGAGGCGAUUUCUCUACUUUGCUGGCUGUUUCCUGAGCAAGUGACAAGAUGGAGCUGAUUAAAAGAAGACAAGGGAAGUCUCAGUGCCAGACCACUUCAGAAAUGAAGCAUUCCAGAAAGGCAUGUACGAACUCCUGUCAGAAACAGGAAUGAUUUCAUGGCCCCUUUUGCAUAUUAAUGAACUACAAGUAACCUCAGUUUAGCGGUGCAGAUGCAACAUUUCAGGAGCUGUGCCAGAAUUCAGCGAUAAAUGCCAGCUCCAGGGGAAAUACAUUUCAUGAUAGAAUUAGGAGAGCAGCCAUCUGAGACGUCCACAGAAAUCGCCACCCCCCUUGAAAUGGAAGGGGGUGCCUGGGGAGCUGGGCACUGGUGGCAGUGGAUGUGGGGUAUCGGGUCAUUUUUCUAAAACCAGUUCCCAGGCAUGCUCUCAAUCUUCUACUCUUCUGACACUGCAUAUUUCCUCAAGCAACAAAAUCAUUUGCCAAAAGGUCAAGCUUAGGUGAAUUGAUUAAUUUGGCUGCCUAUUUUUCUGGUGUAACUUAAAAAAAAAUGUUUAAUCAUAUAGUUCUCCUUGUUUUAGAAGCAAAAUACCUCUUUUUGCUUCUUCCCCACCCUGCUCCCCCAACUGCCUGUCAGGCAUUUUUUUCCCCCAACUUCUUGCAACCUGUGGUUGUAUUUUCUGGCAGAAGGCAAGCUCUCAGCAGUCCUCUUUUCUUCCAGUGCUCCUCCAGAAUUUGCUUGAUUCUCGCCCCCUUGCUCGCUCAUUCCCCUU